rnacentral:rRNA from 1 species
AGAACGCUGGCGGCAGGCCUAACACAUGCAAGUCGAGCGGUAGAGAGGAGCUUGCUUCUCUUGAGAGCGGCGGACGGGUGAGUAAUGCCUAGGAAUCUGCCUAGUGGUGGGGGAUAACGUUCGGAAACGGACGCUAAUACCGCAUACGUCCUACGGGAGAAAGCGGGGGAUCUUCGGACCUCGCGCCAUUAGAUGAGCCUAGGUCGGAUUAGCUAGUUGGUGAGGUAAUGGCUCACCAAGGCGACGAUCCGUAACUGGUCUGAGAGGAUGAUCAGUCACACUGGAACUGAGACACGGUCCAGACUCCUACGGGAGGCAGCAGUGGGGAAUAUUGGACAAUGGGCGAAAGCCUGAUCCAGCCAUGCCGCGUGUGUGAAGAAGGUCUUCGGAUUGUAAAGCACUUUAAGUUGGGAGGAAGGGUUGUAGAUUAAUACUCUGCAAUUUUGACGUUACCGACAGAAUAAGCACCGGCUAACUUCGUGCCACAGCCGCGGNAAUACCAAGGGUGCAAGCGUUAAUCGGAAUUACUGGGCGUAAAGCGCGCGUAGGUGGUUCGUUAANUUGGAUGUGAAACCCCNGGCUCAACCUGGGAACU